CCUACGGGUGGCAGCAGUGGGGAAUAUUGGACAAUGGGCGAAAGCCUGAUCCAGCCAUGCCGCGUGUGUGAAGAAGGCCUUCGGGUUGUAAAGCACUUUCAGUGGGGAAGAAAGCCUUGGGGCUAAUACCCUCGAGGAAGGACAUCACCCACAGAAGAAGCACCGGCUAACUCCGUGCCAGCAGCCGCGGUAAUACGGAGGGUGCGAGCGUUAAUCGGAAUUACUGGGCGUAAAGCGCGCGUAGGCGGUCUGAUAAGCCGGUUGUGUAAGCCCCGGGCUCAACCUGGGAACGGCAUCCGGAACUGUCAGGCUAGAGUGCAGGAGAGGAAGGUAGAAUUCCCGGUGUAGCGGUGAAAUGCGUAGAGAUCGGGAGGAAUACCAGUGGCGAAGGCGGCCUUCUGGACUGACACUGACGCUGAGGUGCGAAAGCGUGGGUAGCAAACAGGAUUAGAUACCCUUGUAGUC
rnacentral:rRNA from 1 species